ACUCCUACGGGAGGCAGCAGUGGGGAAUAUUGCACAAUGGGAAAGGCCAUCGAUGCAGCCAUGCCGCGCUGUGUGAAGAAGGCCAAUUCGGGCUUGGUUAAAGACACUUUCAGUAGGGAGGAAGGUAGUGUAGUUAACACCUGCAUUAUUUGACGUUACCUACAGAAGAAGCACCGGCUAACUCCGUGCCAGCAGCCGCGGUAAUACGGAGGGUGCGAGCGUUAAUCGGAAUUACUGGGCGUAAAGCGCAUGCAGGUGGUUUGUUAAGUCAGAUGUGAAAG
rnacentral:rRNA from 1 species